GGAUGUGACAGCGACCUGGCUGCGACAUCUAUCACCCCACUGAUCGCCAGGGUUGAUUCGGCUGAUCUGGCUGGCCAGGUGGGUGUCCCCUUCCUCCCUCACAGCUCUAUAUGUGUCCCUCUUGAAGCUGCGCACUCAGUCAAAGAGGAUGGCCUUCCCCUAAUAGAGAUGGACCAGUCUUCCGUCAAAGGGUAUAGGAGUAGCUGCGCUCCCCUGCUAGAACCUCCAAACAAGCUCUCAAGGUCCAAAUCUCCAGUUCUACAUGUAAACAAAACUAUCCAGUAGCUGCCUUUUACCUGUUUAGAGGUCUUUAUAUAAAAGGAUUGGAACACA
ensembl:misc_RNA 7SK 7SK RNA